rnacentral:rRNA from 1 species
GAUGAACGCUGGCGGCGUGCCUAAUACAUGCAAGUCGAGCGAAUGGAUUAAGAGCUUGCUCUUAUGAAGUUAGCGGCGGACGGGUGAGUAACACGUGGGUAACCUGCCCAUAAGACUGGGAUAACUCCGGGAAACCGGGGCUAAUACCGGAUAACAUUUUGAACCGCAUGGUUCGAAAUUGAAAGGCGGCUUCGGCUGUCACUUAUGGAUGGACCAGCGUCGCAUGAGCUAGUUGGUGAGGUAACGGCUCACCAAGGCAACGAUGCGUAGCCGACCUGAGAGGGUGAUCGGCCACACUGGGACUGAGACACGGCCCAGACUCCUACGGGAGGCAGCAGUAGGGAAUCUUCCGCAAUGGACGAAAGUCUGACGGAGCAACGCCGCGUGAGUGAUGAAAGCUUUCGGGUCGUAAAACUCUGUUGUUAGGGAAGAACAAGUGCUAGUUGAAUAAGCUGGCACCUUGACGGUACCUAACCAGAAAGCCACGGCUAACUACGUGCCAGCAGCCGCCGUAA